CAGGGAGGGCGGUGACGGGACGGACGCCUGGGGCCCGAGCACCGUCCCCGUCCCCCCCGAGGCGGCAGCAAUUUGGGGCGGGGUAGGGGCCGGUGAAGCCCCCGCGGACGGAAGGGAGAAGUUGGACCCCUGCAAGUCAGGCUAACCUUCCUGUCAGGGCUGGAUUUAUUUGCAAACCGCAGGAAGAAGAAAAUACAAGAGAGAGAGGGGUUUGGUGCAGCGCCGCGAUCACGGAUUUCAGAUGUGUUCUAAGCCUGCCGGGGU
rnacentral:lncRNA from 1 species